rnacentral:rRNA from 1 species
GAUGGACGCUGGCGGCGUGCCUAAUACAUGCAAGUCGAGCGAAUGGAUUAAGAGCUUGCUCUUAUGAAGUUAGCGGCGGACGGGUGAGUAACACGUGGGUAACCUGCCCAUAAGACUGGGAUAACUCCGGGAAACCGGGGCUAAUACCGGAUAACAUUUUGAACCGCAUGGUUCGAAAUUGAAAGGCGGCUUCGGCUGUCGCUUAUGGAUGGACCCGCGUCGCAUUAGCUAGUUGGUGAGGUAACGGCUCACCAAGGCAACGAUGCGUAGCCGACCUGAGAGGGUGAUCGGCCACACUGGGACUGAGACACGGCCCAGACUCCUACGGGAGGCAGCAGUAGGGAAUCUUCCGCAAUGGACGAAAGUCUGACGGAGCAACGCCGCGUGAGUGAUGAAGGCUUUCGGGUCGUAAAACUCUGUUGUUAGGGAAGAACAAGUGCUAGUUGAAUAAGCUGGCACCUCGACGGUACCUAACCAGAAAGCCACGGCUAACUACGUGCCAGCAGCCGCUGUAA